CAAUAGCGUAUAUUUAAGUUGCUGCAGUUAAAAAGCUCGUAGUUGGAUUUCGGGUGGGAAUGGCCGGUCCGCCGUUUCGGUGUGCACUUGCUACGCCCACCUUGCUGCCGGGGACGUGCUCAUGAGUUCACGCUCGGGACACGGAGUCGGCGAGGUUACUUUGAGUAAAUUAGAGUGUUCAAAGCAGGCCUACGCUCUGAAUACAUUAGCAUGGAAUAACACGAUAGGACUCUGGCCUAUCUUGUUGGUCUGUAGGACCGGAGUAAUGAUUAAGAGGGACAGUCGGGGGCAUUCGUAUUUCAUUGUCAGAGGUGAAAUUCUUGGAUUUAUGAAAGACGAACUACUGCGAAAGCAUUUGCCAAGGAUGUUUUCAUUAA
rnacentral:rRNA from 1 species